rnacentral:pre_miRNA from 1 species
UAAGGGCUUGAGAUAUUGGUACGGUUCAAUCAGAAGACAGUGCUUUAUGAUUCUAAAGCUCUCUUAUUUGAUUGAGCCGUGCCAAUAUCACAUGCAAACUUU